rnacentral:rRNA from 1 species
UAGCCUGGCCAAACCUCCUUGUCCAAGUCUGAUCUCGUCACAUCUCUGAAGCUAAACGGGGCUGGGCCUGGUUAGUACUUGGAUGGGAGGCUGCUGGGAAUUCCAGGUGCCACAGUGG